GACGAACGCUGGCGGCGUGCCUAAUACAUGCAAGUAGAACGCUGAAGGAGGAGCUUGCUCUUCUGGAUGAGUUGCGAAAGGGUGAGUAACGCGUAGGUAACCUGCCUGCUAGAGGGGGAUAACUCUUGGAAACGAUAGCUAAUACCGCAUAACAGUAGAUGUUGCAUGACAUUUACUUAAAAGGUGCAAUUGCAUCACUACCAGAUGGCGCUGCGUUGUAUUGGCUAGUAGGUGGGGUAACGGCUCAACAAGGCGACGAUACAUAGCCGACCUGAGAGGGUGAACGGCCACACUGGGACUGAGACACGGCCCAGACUCCUACGGGAGGCAGCAGUAGGGAAUCGGCGGCAAUGGACGGAAGUCGGACCGAGCAACGCCGCGUGAGUGAAGAAGGAUUUCGGAUCGUAAAGCUCUGUUGUAAGAGAAGAACGAGUGUGAGAGUGGAAAGUUCACACUGUGACGGUAUCUUACCAGAAAGCGACGGCUAACUACGUG
rnacentral:rRNA from 1 species